rnacentral:lncRNA from 1 species
CAGAGUUUCUCUGUGGUCAAACCACCCUGCCAGCCUCCCUGCUGCAGCCGGCAGCACGUCACUCCAUGCGGGAGGGGAGCCCCACCUAAGGUGAGGCACCUGCUCCCCCUUUGCCUCCUGCCAUGAGUGGAAGCUUCCCAAGUCCUCACCAGAUGCAAAUGUUGGUGCCAUGCUUCCUGUACAGCCUGCAGAACUGUGAGCCAAAGAAACCGCUUUUCUUUAUAAAUUACCCAGUUUCAGGGUACCGAGUGAGACCCAGCUGACCUGGAAAAUGACAGGGACACUUUUUAUCCUUCCAACUUAACCUUUCCGUCCUGACUUAACCUUUCCCUCUUUGACACAAAUGAAGAAAUUAGGGCUCUUGACUGCUACUGAUUUAAGGGGAUUACAGAGGCACUGCCAGCGAGCAUGAGCACAAGAGUUUAGCGCCUCUCGGCAGCUGAGAGAGGAUGCUGCAUACUUGGGGCCUGGGACCUCCGAGAAGACCUUCUUCAGCCGAAAGCACACCUUAUUCUUGUCCCAGUUGAAGGCUUCCCAACGGUCUUCAUGUGGCACUUGCUGUGUGCCAGGCCCCACUCUGGGCACUUGGUUUAUUUAAUUCUAACCAUGGUCCUAGGUGAUGGGCGCUGGUAUGACUGUGGGAAAGGGACAAGGUGGGAGAUGUGAACGAACUUCCGGAGCCCUCCCUCGGGCAGCCUAGCUCCCCGCCUCCUCCAACACCUUCUGUUGCUUUUCCAGCACAGCCAGUACUGGGCUCUUGGGUUCGAGCACGGGGCGGGGUGAAGGGUGCUGGGAGGUCACAUUCUUGCUUCCCAGCACUGAAGACUGGAAGAAUGAAUGGCACAGAUGAACAAGGCCGUCCUGCAUCCGCCGCUCACUAGAGGCUUCACAGCUGCGUAGGGACACAGGACAUCUGUACAAUAAAUACCAAUGGUAUUAGUGCCCUAGGGCUGCAGGAACAAAGCACCACAGACUGGGGGUGCUGGAACAGCAGAAACUCAGGCUCUCCCAUUUCUGGAUGCCGGAAGUCCAAAAUCUAGUGUCGGCAGGGCUGUGUCCUCUCUGAGGUUUCCAGGGGAGGAGGCUUCCUUGCUUCUCUGGCUUCUGGUGGUGGCUGGCAAUGCUCGGCAUUCCUUGGCUUAUGGACGCAGCACUGAAAUUGCAGCCCUUAUCUUCAUGUGGCCUUCCUUGUGGCGCUCUGUGUCCAAAUGUCCCUCUCCUCUAAGGACACCAGUCAUCGGAUUAGGCCAGCUCUAAUCCGGUGUGCCUCAUCUUGAUUUAACUAACUACAUCUGCAAAGACACUAUUUCCAGAUUACGUCACGUUCCGAGGUUCCUGGUGGACGUGAAUUUUUGGAAGACGCUGUCCAACCUGGGACACCAGCCAGCCCCUCUCUGGCUCCCUCAGUCCCUCCACCCUUCGGAAGUGGUAAAUGGUGGCUUGCUAACAGCGCCUGUAGCAGCCACCUCCUGGUGAUGGCAAAGGAAGGGCCCUCUCAGUCAUAGGGGCCAAUGGCGAGGAGGACCUGGGACGUGGUGCACUGAGCAUUUUCCCUUCUCAGCAGCUCACUCCUUUGUGUGUCUGUGAUGCGAAGGCUGUGACAUCAGUCAGCCUCAUGGAGAACUGGAACAACGGGCUCUGUGUCUUUGGAGAACGCGUCAAGACCAGGGCCUCUUCCCCUGCUCCCAUGGUUCCCAGCGUUCUUGUCUCCUGAGAGAGGAUGUAGUGGGUGUCAUGUUCAGCAUCGCAACUGGCCUCCGUGGAAACCAGGGUGGAGCUCAGACGGGUGUGGGGGGAGCAUGUGACUGAGCUCCUUCCCACUCUCUCUCCGGCACACACGGAGUCAGUGUAGGGAGGUGAUGGGUAGACUCAGCCUGUGGGAUUCUGGCCUGGCUUCCCGGCAGCAAGCAGGAGCUUCAGAUGCUCAUUCCCGCCGCGGUCGGCUGUGGCGGCGACUCAUACCCGUUUCCGCUCGAAUGAUGCCAGCUGUCCUGCUGCGCCACCUUCCUCUGUCCUCGCAUCCGCUGAUGGGAUUUCCGGUCGCUUCCACUUUGUGGCUCUUUUGAAGAAUGCCGCUAGGAACAUUCACACGCAGGUUUUUGGUGUGGACGUAUGUUUGUAUUUCUCCUGGGCACACCCGGGAUGGAGCUGCUGGGUGGCAUGGAAUUCCACCU